rnacentral:rRNA from 1 species
GGCAGACGGGUGAGUAACGCGUGGGAACGUACCCUUUGGUUCGGAACAACACAGGAAACUUGUGCUAAUACCGGAUAAGCCCUUACGGGGAAAGAUUUAUCGCCAAAGGAUCGGCCCGCGUCUGAUUAGCCUUGUUCGGUGAGGUAACGGCUCACCAAGGCUACGAUCAGUAGCUGGUCUGAGAGGAUGAUCAGCCACACUGGGACUGAGACACGGCCCAGACUCCUACGGGAGGCAGCAGUUAGGAAUCUUGGACAAUGGGCGCAAGCCUGAUCCAGCCAUGCCGCGUGAGUGAUGAAGGCCUUAGGGUUGUAAAGCUCUUUCAGCGGGGAAGAUAAUGACGGUACCCGCAGAAGAAGCCCCGGCUAACUUCGUGCCAGCAGCCGCGG